AGACAUAUUUUUAUUGGCCGGAAUGUUUGAAAAAUAUGUUUGUGAAUCAUAAAAAUAAAACAAAACAGCUGGUUAUGAAUUAAAACAUUUGCGACUAAUUGUUCCUUUUGGGUUAUCGACACAACCUUAUAUAAUUGAAUCAUUGAGCUUUGUGUACAAAGAGGAAAAUAAAAGUGGAAUACUUAUUAAAGUUUGAUUUUCUAUUAUAACGUGUACAUAUGUAAAUUGUAAUGAAAUCAAAUAUUGUUCUUAAAUACGCGUAGUCUUCGGCAGCUUUGUACAUCUAACUUUUUGGCGCAUUGUACAUCUAGCUUUUAAAAAGCUCUAAGGUAUCAGUAUUUCUCAAGAGAAAUGAAGCAUUCGAAUAAUAGGAUUAAACUACUCCUUUGAAACGCCACUGAAAGUAAAGGCGAGUUCGCGCGGAGACGACUUUGCCGACAAACUGACGUACAAACUCGCAUACAUAUGGUGAAUCAACAUCUUGCGACAAUGUCGGGUUUUUUAUGGUAUGAGGAAGCAUCAAAAGCCGGAUUGCGGGACUUUAAUCUGCUAAACCCAAUAUACUCCACCUAAUAUAUUUUUCAAUUUGUCAUCGAAGAUACAUAUGAAGUGAAUUGUGGUUGACCAGGCGCACAGAAAAAAGAGCACAGCGCACAGUUAUGAACCAGCGUAAUGGACUUCGCAGAAUUUGAUGUCGUUGUAUUAUAAAGCGUAUUGAAGUUUAUAACUAAUAUGCGUGCACAUUUACCACACUUAUUAGAAUAAAUUAUUUACA